rnacentral:rRNA from 1 species
GAUGAGCAUGCGUCCCAUUAGCUUGUUGGUAAGGUAACGGCUUACCAAGGCAACGAUGGGUAGGGGUCCUGAGAGGGAGAUCCCCCACACUGGUACUGAGACACGGACCAGACUCCUACGGGAGGCAGCAGUGAGGAAUAUUGGUCAAUGGGCGCAAGCCUGAACCAGCCAUGCCGCGUGCAGGAUGAAGCAUCUAUGGUGUGUAAACUGCUUUUGUACGAGAAGAAACACUCCUACGUGUAGGAGCAUGACGGUAUCGUAAGAAUAAGGACCGGCUAACUCCGUGCCAGCAGCCGCGGUAAUACGGAGGGUCCAAGCGUUAUCCGGAAUCAUUGGGUUUAAAGGGUCCGUAGGCGGUUUUGUAAGUCAGUGGUGAAAGCCCAUCGCUCAACGGUGGAACGGCCAUUGAUACUGCAAGACUUGAAUUAUUAGGAAGUAACUAGAAUAUGUAGUGUAGCGGUGAAAUGCUUAGAGAUUACAUGG